GUUCUCUCUUUGGCAGCACAUAAAUUAAAAUUGGAAUGAUACAGAGGAGAUUAGCAUGGCCCCUGCGCAAGGAUGAUGUGCAAAUUCAUGAAGUGUUCCAUAUUUUU